rnacentral:sRNA from 1 species
GCUGAUUCAUCCACUGAAGCCCUGGGCCGGGAGGCUUUGCUCUAAGAUCUGUGGGAACUGCGCAGGGCCCUCCUCAAUCUGGGCCUCAGGAUUCCCCCUGAGAUUUGGAGUUGAGCUAGACAGCCUUUAAGAGAAGCUCUGGCUGUAUUCCCACUGGUGCCUCACUUUCCUCUUGUGAGGCAAGGAGUUCUUGUCUACAUGAGGGGCAGGCCUGAAGUUGGAUUCUGGAGGGGAGCCAAAUGGGGCCUCAGCUGUGUGGUGCGGCCCUGUUGGCAGUGGGCAUCUGGGUGUCAAUCGAUGGGGCAUCCUUUCUGAAGAUCUUCGGGCCGCUGUCGUCCAGUGCCAUGCAGUUUGUCAACGUGGGCUACUUCCUCAUCGCAGCCGGCGUUGUGGUCUUUGCUCUUGGUUUCCUGGGCUGCUAUGGUGCUAAAACUGAGAGCAAGUGUGCCCUCAUGACGGUGUGUCAAACCCAGCUCCACAGGCCGAUGACCAAGAGUCCCCUCGCCCUUGACACCAGGCUCUGGGACCCCCCUAGGCUAAGGCCUCUGUCUCACUUUUCCGGGGGGGGUGGAUUAGGGCAAGGAGGGCAUGAGGGACUGUCUCUCCCUAAAACCCAGACCCCUGUUCCCCACUCAGUUCUUCUUCAUCCUCCUCCUCAUCUUCAUUGCUGAGGUUGCAGCUGCUGUGGUCGCCUUGGUGUACACCACAAUGGCUGAGCACUUCCUGACAUUGUUGGUAGUGCCUGCCAUCAAGAAAGACUACGGUUCCCAGGAAGACUUCACUCAAGUGUGGAACACUACCAUGAAAGG